UUUCUUAAUUAGCAUUUUCCAAAUUUUUGGUUUUCCUACAUAUUUCAUAUACGUCUUCCACUUCUGUGAUUUGAAUUGCUUUAAAAAGUUUCCGCUUUUGUGCUUAAUUUGCAUAUAAUUUUAUAACACCAAAUUAAGUCUCAACCAAUAUGGAAAAUUUGUUCCAAAGUAGUUUCGCCUUUUGUAAACGCUUUACAUGUGGUGAGGCCCCACUUUUAUCACGUCUCCCGGUUGGUCAAAAUGUUCCAUUGGUUGAACGCAAUAUCGCUUCUGAAGUAGAAAGUGUACGAAUUAAGUCUCCACUUUGCUUUGGAUUACUAGGCACUACACCGGAUUUGGUUACAUCCGGAGUUUCACCAAUGACCGAUUUGAAAAGAAUUAAUUAUACCUCAACCGCUAGAAAGAAGAAGAAAGACAGGCAUGGUGCUCUGGCACACUUCAGGAAGUAUUUAAUUUCAAUAACGCCAAAGCCUACGUAUGAGGGAUAUUAUCGGUUCAACCAGCAAUAGAAUUGUCUGAAAGCAAUCACAAAGCUCAAUUAAUGCGAUUGAGAAGAAAGUUCGAUUAUUUUUAAUAUUGGUUUUUCUUAUGUAAUCUUUGAAGAGAAUUUAUGACUGAUCUUCCGUUAACUUGUGAACAUCGUGGAAAUAAAACCUUUUCUUGAAGAUUUAAUAGUUGAAGUCAAUAUUUUACAAUACCGGACUCUCUCUAUAAUCGUACUUAAUUGGUAAACUGAUAAGUGUAUGAAUGGCGGUGUAUUAUUAGAUGAAUUUCUCUAUAUAUAACAUGGCCUGAAACUUAAAAUGAUUGCUUUGUGAUUGCUUUCAAACAAUAUUAUUAUAAAUUGAUGGUCAAUUAUUUAUGCUUGUAAAAUUACCGGAUGGACCUACUGAUUAUGACUACUUGGCCAAAAAAUGCACCGAAAAGUUCAGAAAUAGCGCAGUAAUUUUUUUUUUACCUGACUUCACUACAUUAUUAGUGGCAAUAGUAAUCCGCUGAACAAACGUCUUUCUCGAGUGAAUUUAUUAUUUAUGGCCAAUUGAACAGGAAUUUCACUAGAAAGCUAAGGAAUGGCAUGGUACUUAGUUCUCUGAACUAUUGCACAGCUAAUAAUUUUAAUUUAUACGAAAAGUGAAAACCUUACCUACCUGACUUUACUAAUUCAUAUAUUAGAUUUGACACCAAGAUAAUUUAUAAAUAAACGGAGUGGCGCGACAUAUACCUGAUUUAACAAAUUUGGAUCCUACUGGAUUUUUUUAAUAAUGAAUACUAUGUGCGUACAACUAAUGUUUAUUAUUUAAUAUUGAAUACUUGGCUAAAAUAUUUACAGCGAAGUUUACUGAUUUUAAAUUAUUAAUAUGUGACCAUACUGGAACGGACUUCUACCGGAUUUGACUAAACAAAAUAUAUUUUGGGGGAUGUGAUAAAGUGGUAUUAAUCGACUAUAUAUAGUUUUGUAUAAUUUUAAAUUGAUUGUUGUAAUUGUCAGCAUGUUUUUAUCCUACAUAAGUGCAAACACUAUUCUAGACUUCUCACUAAGAACUGUUUAAAGGAAACUUAAAAAUGAAUUUGAAGACCUUAUUUCAACGAUAAUAAUUAAUAUGUGUAGUUAGAAAGUGAUUG